GUUGUGCUUGCAUGUGAUCCAUUGAAAAGGCACUUCUGGAUUUUAUUGUAGAAUACAAAAAGAAAACAUAAGAACAACAAUAAAAAAAUGGUUCUAUUUGUAUCAUAGUCUACCGCAUGACUCAAGGAAGAACUUCCAAUGGAAAAGGCACUGGUCCAUAUCGGCUGCAAGAAAUUUGUUUAUAAUGAUCAAUUCAAAUGAACAAACAGUGAUUGAAUGCCAGUCGUCCGAAAGAGUCUGUGCUAAGUGGCAGCACACAAAAUGAGGAACCAGAUUUUGGGUCUGCCUCUUAGAGGCUCAAACUGCAGUGGAAGAGAGAGGAAGA